rnacentral:rRNA from 1 species
UACGUAGGGUGCAAGCGUUGUCCGGAAUUAUUGGGCGUAAAGAGCUCGUAGGCGGUCUGUCACGUCGGCUGUGAAAUCCCGAGGCUCAACCUCGGGUCUGCAGUCGAUACGGGCAAACUAGAGUAUUGCAGGGGAGACUGGAAUUCCUGGUGUAGCGGUGAAAUGCGCAGAUAUCAGGAGGAACACCGGUGGCGAAGGCGGGUCUCUGGGCCAGUACUGACGCUGAGGAGCGAAAGCGUGGGGAGCGAACAGG